rnacentral:rRNA from 1 species
GUAGUCCACGCCGUAAACGGUGGGUACUAGGUGUGGGUUUCCUUCCUUGGGAUCCGUGCCGUAGCUAACGCAUUAAGUACCCCGCCUGGGGAGUACGGCCGCAAGGCUAAAACUCAAAGAAAUUGACGGGGGCCCGCACAAGCGGCGGAGCAUGUGGAUUAAUUCGAUGCAACGCGAAGAACCUUACCUGGGUUUGACAUGCACAGGACGACGGCAGAGAUGUCGUUUCCCUUGUGGCCUGUGUGCAGGUGGUGCAUGGCUGUCGUCAGCUCGUGUCGUGAGAUGUUGGGUUAAGUCCCGCAACGAGCGCAACCCUUGUCUCAUGUUGCCAGCACGUCAUGGUGGGGACUCGUGAGAGACUGCCGGGGUCAACUCGGAGGAAGGUGGGGAUGACGUCAAGUCAUCAUGCCCCUUAUGUCCAGGGCUUCACACAUGCUACAAUGGCCGGUACAAAGGGCUGCGAAGCCGCGAGGUGGAGCGAAUCCUUUAAAGCCGGUCUCAGUUCGGAUCGGGGUCUGCAACUCGACCCCGUGAAGUUGGAGUCGCUAGUAAUCGCAGAUCAGCAACGCUGCGGUGAAUACGUUCCCGGGCCUUGUACACACCGCCCGUCACGUCAUGAAGUCGGUAACACCCGAAGCCGGUGGCAUAACCCGUAAGGGAGGGAGCCGUCGAAGGUG